UGGAUAAAGCCAUUGGUUGGUGCAACUGUU
rnacentral:piRNA from 1 species